AUUCCCCCAGUAACUGCGAGUGAAGAGGGAAGAGCUCAUCAUUGGAAUCUGGCAGCGUUGCGCUGUCCGAGUUGUAGAUGAGAAGAGUAGGCCAUCUGGACUGCGUGGUGUCCAAGUACAAUAGGCCGUCAGUGGGACAUCAUAGAGGGUGACAAUCCCGUCCUUGACACCAACGUACGAGUCCAUUACGAUGCCUAUCUCAGAGAGUCGAGCAGUUUGGGAUUUGCUGCUUAAACAUGGGAGGUAGAUUCCUUCUAAAGCUAAAUACAGGCAAGAGACCGAUAGAGAACAAGUACCGCAAGGGAAAGAUGAAAUAGAACUCUGUGAAGGGAGUCAAAAAGACGUGAAAUUGUUGCGAGAGAAGCGAUUCAAGUCAGCGUAGCUAGGCCCAUCAAGCCUUGCUUUGGACUAGCUUUGCCAGCGGUCUUGUCCUUUAGAGAGACUUGACUUUUGACAUGCCCUGCCCGGUCUAACGGGCAGACCUCCCUCUGGGAGGCCAGUGGCAUGGCUGGUGGAAUGGCUUGCAAUCGACCCGUCUUGAAACACGGACCAAGGAGUCUAACAUGUGUGCGAGUAUAAGGGUGGCAAACCCGUAUGCGCAAAGAAAGUGAUAGCCUUUUAUGGCUGAGAAUGGCCUGAUGACCAGACAAGCAAUAUUAUGUUCCUCGUACGGUCAUUGCCCAAGUCCCGUGGUCAGAUCCCAUGGACAUGGAGUUAGAGCAUACAUGCUAGGACCCGAAAGAUGGUGAACUAUGCCUGGACAAAGCGAAGCCAAAGGAAACUCUGGUGGAGGCUUGUAGCGAUUCUGACGUGCAAAUCGAUCGUCUGAUCUGGGUAUAGGGGCGAAAGAC
rnacentral:rRNA from 1 species